UGGGCUGAGACUUAGAGAUGGGGUAAGGAGCCCGGGCACUACGGAUGUGCUCAGAGUAGAACCGCUGCUCCUCCAUGUCAAGAGGAGUCAGCUGAGGUGGCUCAGGUAUCUGGUUAGGAUGCCUUCUGAAUGCCUCCCAUUGGACGUGUUCCAGACAUGUCCCACUGGGAGGAGACCUUGUGGCUGGCCCAGGACCAGGUGGAGGGAUUAUAUCUCUCACCUGACCUGGGAGUGCCUGGAAAUCCCCCCGGAGGAGCUGGUGGAAGUGGCUGGGGUGAAGGCCAUCUGGGCUUCCCUCCUGUAGCUGCUGCCCCCACGACCCGGACCCGAAUGAAGCAGAAGAAAAUGACAACAACGACGAUGGUAUGGGGGUGCAUUAGUGCCCAAGGCAUGGGUAACUUACACAUCUGUGAAGGCAAAAUCAAUGCUGAAAGGUACAUACAGGUAUUGGAGCAACAUACGCUGCCAUCCAAGCAACGUCUUUUUCAGCAAGACAAUGCCAAGCCACAUUCUGCACGUGUUACAACAGAGUGGCUGCGUAGUAAGAGUGUGCAGGUACUCUACUGGCCUGCUUGCAGUCCAGAACUGUCUCCUAUUGAAAAUGUGUGCCACAUUAUGAAGCACAAAAUACGACAAUGGAGACCCUGGACUGUUGAACAACUAAAGCUGUACAUCAGGCAAGAAUGGGAAAGAAUUCCACCUUCAAAGCUUCAACAAUUAGUCUCCUCAGUUCCCAAACGUUUACUGAGUGUUGUUAAAAGGAAAGGUGAGGUAACACAGAUGUAAACAUGCCCCUGUCCCAACUACUUUGGCACGUGUUGCAGCCAUGAAAUUCUGAGUUAAUGAUUAUGUUAAAUUAAGGAGUUUGAACAUUAAAAAUCUUGUCUUUGUAGUAUAUUCAAUUGAAUAUAGGUUGAAAAGAAUUUGCAAAUCAUUGUAUUCUGUUUUUAUGUAUGUUUAUCACAAUUUCCCAACUUCAAUGGAACUGUGUUUUGUAAAUCAAGUGUUGAUCUGUUACCUGUCAGACUAACUCGAUAAACACCUUUACCUGUCAGUCUGGCUCGAUAACACCUUAACCUGUCAGUCUGAUUCUAUUACACCUUUGCCUAUCAGUCUGACCCCAUAACACCUUUACCUGUCAGUCUGACUCGAUAACACCUUUAUCUCACAGUCUGACUCUAUAACUCCUUUACAUGUCAGUAUGACUCUAUAAAACCUUUACAUAACAGUCUGACUCUAUAACAACUUUACUUGUCAUUCUGACUCUGUAACAUCUUUACCUCGCAGUCUGACUCUUUAACACCUUGACCUGUCAGUCUGACUCUAUAACACCUUUACCUUACAGUCUGACUCUGUAACACAUUUGCCUGUCAGUCUAUCAGGAUAACCCCUUUACCUCACAGUCUCUAAAACAACUUUGCCUGUCAUUCUGACUCUGUCACACCUCUACCCUUCAGUCUGACUUUUUAACAACAUUACUUGUCAGUCUGACUCCACUACAUCUUUUCCUCACAGUCUGACUCUUUAACACCUUUGCCUGACAGUUUGACUCUGUAGCACCUUUACCUGUUGGUCUGACUCUGUAAAACCUUUACCUGUCAGUCUGACUCUGUAACACCAUUUCCUGUCAGUCUAAGUCUGUAACACCAUUACCUGAAAGUCCGAUUCUAUAUAACCUUUACCUUAAAGUGCGACUCUUUGUAACACCUUUACCUGUCAGUCUGACUCUGUAAAACCUUUACCUCAUAGUCUAACCCUAACACCUUUGUCUUCAAGUCUUAGUCUGUUACACUUUUACCUGACAGUCUGACUUUAUUACACCUUUACCUGCCAGUCUGAGUCAAUAACACUUUUUCUUCACAGUCUGACUCUUUAACACCUUUACCUCUCCGUUUUACUCUUUAAAACCAUAACCUCACAGUCUGACUUAAUAACACCUUUACCAUUCAGUCUGACUCUGUAACACAUUUGCCUGUCAGUCUAUUAGGAUAACACCUUACCGUCUGACUCUAAAACACCUUUCAGUCUGACUCUAUAACACCUUUGCCUGACAGUUUGACUCUGUAGCACCUUUACCUGUCAGUCUGACUCUGUAAAACCUUUACCUUUCAGUCAGAUUCUAACAGCCUUUCUUCAGUCAGUCAGUCAGUCUAACUCUGUAACACCAUUACCUGAUACCCGAUUCUUUAUUACCUUUACCUUAGAUUCCGACUCUGUAACACCUUCUCCUGUGCGCCUGACUCUGUAACACCUUUACUUGACAGCUUGACUCUGUUACACCUUUACUUUACAGUCUGACUCUGUUACACCUUUAUCUUACAGUCAGGAUCUGUAAUGCCUUUACUUGACAGUAUGACUCUAUCAUAUUUGUAAGUCUGAAUUUGUAACACAUGUACCUCACAGUCUGAGUCUAUAACAACUUUAAAUGACAGUCUGACUCUAAAGCACCUUUGCCUGAUAGUGUGACUCUGUAACACUUUCACCUGGCAGUCUGACACUGAAACACCUCUGCCUGUCAUACUGACUUUUUAACAGCUUUACCUGUCAGUCUGACUUUCUAUUACCUUUACUUGAGAGUUUGACUUUGUAACACCUUUACCUGUCACUCUGACUCUGUAACACCUUUACAGAGUCAGUCUGACUACACUCACCGGCCACUUUAUUAGGUACACCAUGCUAGUAACGGGUUGGACCCCCUUUUGCCUUCAGAACUGCCUCAAUUCUUCGUGGCAUAGAUUCAACAAGGUGCUGGAAGCAUUCCUCAUUCCAUAUUGACAUGAUGGCAUCACACAGUUGCCGCAGAUUUGUCGGCUGCACAUCCAUGAUGCGAAUCUCCCGUUCCACCACAUCCGAAAGAUGCUCUAUUGGAUUGAGAUCUGGUGACUGUGGAGGCCAUUUGAGUACAGUGAACUCAUUGUCAUGUUCAAGAAACCAGUCUGAGAUGAUUCCAGCUUUAUGACAUGGCGCAUUAUCCUGCUGAAAGUAGCCAUCAGAAGUUGGGUACAUUGUGGUCAUAAAGGGAUGGACAUGGUCAGCAACAAUACUCAGGUAGGCUGUGGCGUUGCAACGAUGCUCAAUUGGUACCAAGGGGCCCAAAGAGUGCCAAGAAAAUAUUCCCCACACCAUGACACCACCACCACCAGCCUGAACCGUUGAUACAAGGCAGGAUGGAUCCAUGCUUUCAUGUUGUUGACGCCAAAUUCUGACCCUACCAUCCGAAUGUCGCAGCAGAAAUCGAGACUCAUCAGACCAGGCAACGUUUUUCCAAUCUUUUCCAAUUCUGCUGCUGUAGCCCAUCUGCCUCAAAGUUCGACGUACUGUGCGUUCAGAGAUGCUCUUCUGCCUACCUUGGUUGUAACGGGUGGUUAUUUGAGUCACUGUUGCCUUUCUAUCAGCUCGAACCAGUCUGGCCAUUCUCCUCUGACCUCUGGCAUCAACAAGGCAUUUCCGCCCACAGAACUGCCGCUCACUGGAUAUUUUUUCUUUUUCGGACCAUUCUCUGUAAACCCUAGAGAUGGUUGUGCGUGAAAAUCCCAGUAGAUCAGCAGUUUCUGAAAUACUCAGACCAGCCCUUCUGGCACCAACAACCAUGCCACGUUCAAAGUCACUCAAAUCACCUUUCUUCCCCA